GUGUUUGUGUGUGUGUUAGUGCUCUUGGACAGACCAAUGGACAAUAUGGAGGUGGCACUGGACUCCAGGAUGCAGUGCAUCGUGAUCCUGACCAGAUAAAAAUGUAUGCUAUGGUCACUCGAAAAACCAGUUGACCGGAAGUUCCAGCGAGUGUUUGUGAGUGUGUUGGUGCUUUUGGACAGAUCACAGGAUAUGUAUGGAUAGAUAUGGAGGAUGUAUAUACGGAGAUCAUCGUUCAAGACUUCAGAGCAUCGAAAACUUAUUCAGUGGAACGGUGAAAUGUAAAUUGGCUAAUUUCUUUUUAUGUACUGUUGGCAAUGUUUUCCGAUAUCCUUAUGUGCAUAUAUUUCUGUAAACUGAUGCAAACACACCACCAUUCAAAAAUUUUAU